GGGACUUCAUUUCUCCGAUAUAGCAGGAUUUUUUUGAGAUUAUUAUUAGAAAAAUAUUGAAGAGGGCCCGUCCUAGCUACUCUCCACCAACUACCAUAAUAAGGUGGAUAGGCAAGUCUCAGACCCUCUAUGUUAAUUACUGCCUAUAUGUAUUUUGGAGUCCCUUCCAAAUUCGCAGAAUUGUGUGUUCUUCUUCAUCCAAUCCUCAGCACAUAAGAGAUCAGCACUGCAGAAAUGGAUGCACCGUCACAGCAAGAGAUGUCAUCCUAUGAUCACGUUAAGAGACGCCACGAGGACAAAGGCUGCCUCUAUGCCUUCUUCUUCGCUCUAUGUUGCUGCUGUUGCUGCAGUGAAACUUGUGAGUGCUGUCGCCGCAGUGAAACUUGUGAGCUCCGUUGCCUCAGUGGAACUUGUGAGUGCUGUGUGCAGCUGUGUGCAGUGUCGCUGCUGUGCUUAGAUCACUAGUCCAAGAAAUGGAAGUAGUAUGAACUUUUCCCCUGAAUUUUAGAUUGGCCAUGGGUUUUUUUUUUUUUUUACAUUUUGAUCUCCUUGUUUUGAAUUUUGUUCAUUCUUAAACAAAUUAAUUAUCAAAUUAGAUAAAAAAAACUGCAAUUAAAAAAUAAAAUGUGAAGGACUGGAAAAAAAAAAAGAGCUUUAGCUUUUGUUAUAAUAACUACUACUAUAAUUUGCCAUUUUAGUUACUUGUUAAGCAAAAAGGGCAAGAAUGAAUGAAGAACCUCCCUUCAAUUCAUGUGAAAUGGAGAGCAAGUGGAGCUUCUUCACCAAACGAGUUGGAAGCUCAUUCUCAUUCUAGCAAAUCUUAUCUUUCUCAUGCUGAUCCUCCUCUGCAAAAUCUAACUUUGAAAUGCCUUGAUUAGCCACUAAUCUAUCAAGCAGGUAUAGUAUAAGCUUCUUUUUUCUUUUAAUAAUAAAUUGGAAAACAUUUUUCCCUCCCUAAAUGCUAAUUUGUUAUCCGUUAAUUGGUAUUCUAAAGUGAUGCUCAACAUUAAAAAGUCGGGGAAUUAAUCAGUGCCUGACAAGCGUUGGCAUAUUAACGUUGACAUAUUAACGUUGACAUAUAACUGCCUGCGGGCUAGAACAUUAAACAUUGUCGUGUGGAAGAAGGCUCUAAGAAGAUGGACUUCAUUUCUCAGAUAUAGCAGGAUUUUUUUUAGAUUAUUAUUAGAAAAAUAUUGAAGAGGGCCCGUCCUAGCUACUCUCCAACAACUACCAUAAUAAGGUGGAUAGGCAAGUCUCAGACCCUCUAUGUUACUGCCUAUAUGUAUUUUGGAGUCCCUUCCAAAUUCGCAGAAUUGUGUGUUCUUCUUCAUCCAAUCCUCAGCACAUAAGAGAUCAGCACUGCAGAAAUGGAUGCACCGUCACAGCAAGAGAUGUCAUACUAUGAUCACGUUAAGAGACGCCAUGAGGACAAAGGCUGCCUCUAUGCCUUCUUCUUCGCUCUAUGUUGCUGCUGUUGCUGCAGUGAAACUUGUGAAUGCUGUAUGAAGUGUUGCUGCUGUGCUUAGAUCACCAGUCCAAGAAAUGGAAGUAGUAUGAAGAUGAAAGUAAUUCAAUAUUUUCCAUGUUCCGUAAUUUUCCAAUUGUGUGAAGUCUCAUCAGCUUGUUCGCUCUAUGUUGCUGCCGUGAAACUUGUGAGUGCUGUGUGCAGGGUUGCUGCUGUGCUUAGAUCACUAGUCCAGGAAAUGGAAGUAGUGUGAAGAUGAAUGUAAUUCCAUAUAUUUUCCAUGUUCCGUAAUUUUCCAAUUGUGUGAGUCUCAUCAGCAUGUAAAAAGUUGGUUCUUUUUCAUGUUAGUUCUUUGAAACAUUAGCUUCGUGAUCCAUGUGAGAUGUGUUCGAUCACCAGUUAGGUCUGUUCGUUGAUUGUAGUAUGUGUUUUCGGGGAUAAACUGCGGAGUUUUUUCUUAUAA